rnacentral:rRNA from 1 species
UACGGAGGGUGGCAAGCGUUAUCCGGAUUUACUGGGUUUAAAGGGUGCGUAGGCGGGCUUUUAAGUCAGCGGUGAAAGCUUCGGGCUUAACCCGGAAAUGCCGUUGAUACUAUUAGUCUUGAAUUAAGUUGAGGUGGGCGGAAUAUGUCAUGUAGCGGUGAAAUGCUUAGAUAUGACAUAGAACACCGAUUGCGAAGGCAGCUCGCUAAACUUAUAUUGACGCUGAGGCACGAAAGCGUGGGGAGUCAAACAGGA